rnacentral:tRNA from 1 species
AAGAAAGAACGCAAGAACUGCUAAUUCAUGCUCCCAUGCCUAAAACACAUGGCUUUCUUA